rnacentral:rRNA from 1 species
GGUUCAGGAUGAACGCUGGCGGCGUGCUUAAUACAUGCAAGUCGAACGAAGCACUUCAGCAGAUCCCUCGGGGUGAAGCCGGUUGUGACUUAGUGGCGGACGGGUGAGUAACGCGUGGGCAACCUGCCUUAUACAGGGGGAUAACAGCUGGAAGCGACUGCUAAUACCCCAUAAGCGCACGGCACCGCAUGAUGCAGUGUGAAAAGAUUUUAUCGGUAUAAGAUGGACCCGCGUCUGAUUAGUUAGUUGGCGGGGUAACGGCCCACCAAGACCGCGAUCAGUAGCCGACUUGAGAGAGUGAUCGGCCACAUUGGGACUGAGACACGGCCCAGACUCCUACGGGAGGCAGCAGUAGGGAAUAUUGCACAAUGGGGGAAACCCUGAUGCAGCCGACGCCGCGUGAGUGAUUGAAGUAUUUCGGUAUGUAAAGCUCUAUCAGCAGGGAAGAUAAUGACGGUACCUGACUAAGAAGCCCCGGCUAACUACGUGCCAGCAGCGGC